CCGAGCGAGGGCCCCGGCCCGACCUCCAACCCAUUGUUGACCAACACCUGUUGCCUCGGGGGCGACCCGGACGCCGACGCGUCGGCCGUCGGGCACCCCGAAGGACCAUCCCAACUCUGUGUCCGUACGUCGGAGUACUUUGCGAAUCAAUUA
rnacentral:misc_RNA from 1 species